ACAUGCAAGUCGAACGGACUUAACCGUUAGUUUACUAAUGGAGCGGUUAGUGGCGGACUGGUGAGUAACACGUAAGCAACCUGCCUAUCAGAGGGGAACAACAGUUAGAAAUGACUGCUAAUACCGCAUAUGCCUUAGCAACACAUGUUGCAAAAGGGAAAGGAGCAAUCCGCUGAUAGAUGGGCUUGCGUCUGAUUAGAUAGUUGGUGGGGUAACGGCUUACCAAGUCAACGAUCAGUAGCCGGACUGAGAGGUUGAACGGCCACAUUGGGACUGAGAUACGGCCCAGACUCCUACGGGAGGCAGCAGUCGGGAAUAUUGCGCAAUGGAGGAAACUCUGACGCAGUGACGCCGCGUGCAGGAAGAAGGUUUUCGGAUUGUAAACUGCUUUAGACAGGGAAGAAUAAUGACAGUACCUGUAGAAUAAGCUCCGGCUAACUACGUGCCAGCAGCCGCGGUAAUACGUAGGGAGCAAGCGUUAUCCGGAUUUAUUGGGUGUAAAGGGUGCGUA
rnacentral:rRNA from 1 species